rnacentral:rRNA from 1 species
UACGUAGGGCGCGAGCGUUGUCCGGAAUUAUUGGGCGUAAAGAGCUCGUAGGCGGCCUGUCGCGUCCGCUGUGAAAUCCCGGGGCUUAACCCCGGGCCUGCAGUGGAUACGGGCAGGCUGGAGGUAUGCAGGGGAGAACGGAAUUCCUGGUGUAGCGGUGAAAUGCGCAGAUAUCAGGAGGAACACCGGUGGCGAAGGCGGUUCUCUGGGCAUGUCCUGACGCUGAGGAGCGAAAGCGUGGGGAGCAAACAGG